UUGUGAUCUAGGAAAGUGGCGCCUGUGGUCCUGUAGCGAUCUUUAAAAGACCCCCCCCCCCCCUUUUCCGUUUUGGAGUGACUGGGCAGGCAUUGCGAAACACGAAGGGCUUCCGCGACGUCCCACCUGUGACGUCCUUUCCUUUUCUCAAAGUUUGUGUUGUCCGCUGACCCGCUCUGCGGCGGCAACCCGCGUCGGCUCCGAGGUGCUUCGAGGACUGCGCUUAUGUCGGCGCCAAGUACACGUUGCACAGUGCUGGCAUGCGAGGAUGCUCCGAGCUCGACCCAAUGAUAGCACGCCGUAGACGCACUGUCUCAAGCACAGACCACGAGGACAGCUUUGCCCUCCCUGCGUCCUCGUGUGCUGCCACCUCCUUUGUCUCGACAAUGACAAGUCGCGACCGCACAGCCGAGUUCAAGUCGGCUGCCAAGCUUAUGCAGGGAACCAUUGUUCUGUCGCCACACACCAC